AGGUGGCAGUCUGUCUAAUCAGCCUAGACCUAAACCUUCUCCAGAGAGGUGGCAGUCUGUCAACUCAGCCUAGACCUAAACCUUCUCCGGAGAGGUGGCAGUCUGUCUAAUCAGCCUAGACCUAAACCUUCUCCAGAGAGAGGUGGCAGUCUGUCUAAUCAGCCUAGACCUAAACCUUCUCCAGAGAGGUGGCAGUCUGUCAACUCAGCCUAGACCUAAACCUUCUCCAGAGAGGUGGGAGUCUGUCUAAUCAGCCUAGACCUAAACCUUCUCCAGAGAGGUGGCAGUCUGUCCCUCCAUAUUAGGUAAUCAGAUCUGCCGGUAUUUAGAACCUGAGGCAGAGAGCCAUGAUGUGGAUAUGGAAAUAUGGGCUGUAUAUUGCCAUGGGAAAGGUGUGUGUGUGUGUGUGUGUGUGUGUGUGUGUGUGUGUGUGUGUGUGUGUGUGUGUGUGUGUGUGUGUGUGUGUGUGUGUGUGUGUGUGUGUGUGUGUGUGUGUUUGUUUGUUGGAGUGCAUAGUGGUCUCAGAGAAUUGUUUAUAUGGAGAUACCAAAUGGAAGGUGCUGAUUGAAUCUUCUCCUCUCUUACACCACUUUGGGUA
rnacentral:lncRNA from 1 species